UGGGGAAUAUUGCACAAUGGGCGAAAGCCUGAUGCAGCAACGCCGCGUGAGUGAUGAAGGCCUUCGGGUUGUAAAGCUCUGUCUUUUGGGACGAUAAUGACGGUACCAAAGGAGGAAGCCACGGCUAACUACGUGCCAGCAGCCGCGGUAAUACGUAGGUGGCAAGCGUUGUCCGGAUUUACUGGGCGUAAAGGAUGCGUAGGCGGAUUUUUAAGUGAGAUGUGAAAUACCCGGGCUUAACUUGGGUGCUGCAUUUCAAACUGGGAAUCUAGAGUGCGGGAGAGGAGAAUGGAAUUCCUAGUGUAGCGGUGAAAUGCGUAGAGAUUAGGAAGAACACCAGUGGCGAAGGCGAUUCUCUGGACCGUAACUGAUGCUGAGGCAUGAAAGCGUGGGUAGCAAACAGGAUUAGAUACCCUGGUAGUCCACGCCGUAAACGAUGAGUACUAGGUGUAGGAGGUAUCGACCCCUUCUGUGCCGCAGUUAACACAAUAAGUACUCCGCCUGGGAAGUACGAUCGCAAGAUUAAAACUUUAAAUGAAUUGACGGGGGUCAUAGCUGUUUUCCU
rnacentral:rRNA from 1 species